rnacentral:rRNA from 1 species
GGAAUAUUGGACAAUGGGGGGAACCCUGAUCCAGCAACGCCGCGUGAGCGAAGAAGGCCUUCGGGUCGUAAAGCUCUUUUCUGAGGGAAGAGGCAGGACGGUACCUCAGGAAUAAGUCUCGGCUAACUACGUGCCAGCAGCCGCGGUAAAACGUAGGAGGCGAGCGUUAUCCGGAUUUACUGGGCGUAAAGGGCAAGUAGGCGGUGGCAUAAGUUGGGCGUGACAUCUCCCGGCUCAACUGGGAGGGGUCGCUCAAAACUGGGUCACUUGAGGGCAGGAGAGGGAAGCGGAAUUCCUAGUGUAGCGGUGGAAUGCUCAGAUAUUAGGAAGAACACCAGUGGCGAAGGCGGCUUCCUGGCCUGCACCUGACGCUGAGAGGCGAAAGCUAGGGGAGCGAA